CCUGGUGAAGAUAGUUUCUUCUGCUGCAUCACCAACAAAAACUGAUUCUGAAGAGCAGCGUAGUGUUCAGUGAUCUCAUUUAGCAUAUACCUCAAAUUCUGAUUCUCCUUCUUCACCUCCUCUAUCUCGAUUUGCAGCGAGCUCAACUAAAAUCCAAUAACAAAAAAAAAAAAAAAAAA